rnacentral:rRNA from 2 species
CCGAGGAAGCGCAUCGGAAACUGGGAAACUUGAGUGCAGAAGAGGACAGUGGAACUCCAUGUGUAGCGGUGAAAUGCGUAGAUAUAUGGAAGAACACCAGUGGCGAAGGCGGCUGUCUGGUCUGUAACUGACGCUGAGGCUCGAAAGCAUGGGUAGCGAACAGGAUUAGAUACCCUGGUAGUCCAUGCCGUAAACGAUGAAUGCUAGGUGUUGGAGGGUUUCCGCCCUUCAGUGCCGCAGCUAACGCAUUAAGCAUUCCGCCUGGGGAGUACGACCGCAAGGUUGAAACUCAAAGGAAUUGACGGGGGCCCGCACAAGCGGUGGAGCAUGUGGUUUAAUUCGAAGCAACGCGAAGAACCUUACCAGGUCUUGACAUCUUUUGAUCACCUGAGAGAUCAGGUUUCCCCUUCGGGGGCAAAAUGACAGGUGGUGCAUGGUUGUCGUCAGCUCGUGUCGUGAGAUGUUGGGUUAAGUCCCGCAACGAGCGCAACCCUUAUGACUAGUUGCCAGCAUUUAGUUGGGCACUCUAGUAAGACUGCCGGUGACAAACCGGAGGAAGGUGGGGAUGACGUCAAAUCAUCAUGCCCCUUAUGACCUGGGCUACACACGUGCUACAAUGGAUGGUACAACGAGUUGCGAGACCGCGAGGUCAAGCUAAUCUCUUAAAGCCAUUCUCAGUUCGGACUGUAGGCUGCAACUCGCCUACACGAAGUCGGAAUCGCUAGUAAUCGCGGAUCAGCACGCCGCGGUGAAUACGUUCCCGGGCCUUGUACACACCGCCCG